rnacentral:rRNA from 1 species
GGCACCUCCGGUGUCCGCGUUGUAAUCUCGAGACGUGUUUUCCGUUCUUGGUCUAUGGACAAGUCCCUUGGAAUAGGGCAUCGUACACGGUGAGAAUCCCGUACUUGCCAUGGAAGAACCGUGCUUUGCGAUACACGCUCUAAGAGUCGAGUUGUUUGGGAUUGCAGCUCAAAAUGGGUGGUAGACUCCAUCUAAAGCUAAAUAUCGGGGAGAGACCGAUAGCGAACAAGUACCGUGAGGGAAAGAUGAAAAGCACUUUGGAAAGAGAGUUAAAAGUACGUGAAAUUGUCGAAAGGGAAGCACUUGAAGUCAGCCAUGCUGCUUGAGACUCAGCCUGGCCUUUGGGCUUGGAGUAUUUCUCGGAGGC